rnacentral:sRNA from 1 species
UUUUUUUACAGAUAAGCCCUCUUUCUUAUUUUCAUUUUUUUGACCCCU